AUCCUUUUGUAAUACAUAAGCAGAAUGAUUGGGUUUUUAUGUUCAUAUGUUUGAUAUGCCUUCCUCAAAUCCUCUUAUGAUGUCGGCACAUUACCUAUCUGAGU
ensembl:snoRNA